GACGAACGCUGGCGGCGUGCUUAACACAUGCAAGUCGAACGGAAAGGCCCUGCUUGCAGGGUGCUCGAGUGGCGAACGGGUGAGUAACACGUGGGUGAUCUGCCCCUUACUUUGGGAUAAGCCUGGGAAACUGGGUCUAAUACUGGAUAGGACCAUGCUGUAGGUGGUGUGGUGGAAAGAUUAGUUUCGGUAAGGGAUGAGCUCGCGGCCUAUCAGCUUGUUGGUGGGGUAAUGGCCUACCAAGGCGUCGACGGGUAGCCGGCCUGAGAGGGUGGACGGCCACAUUGGGACUGAGAUACGGCCCAGACACCUACGGGAGGCAGCAGUGGGGAAUAUUGCACAAUAGGCGCAAGCCUGAUGCAGCGACGCCGCGUGGGGGAUGACGGCCUUCGGGUUGUAAACUCCUUUCAGCCAUGACGAAGCCCUUGUGGUGACGGUAGUUGUAGAAGAAGCACCGGCUAACUACGUG
rnacentral:rRNA from 1 species